rnacentral:tRNA from 1 species
GGUUGUGGCUCAGUGGUAGAGAGCUUACCUUGCACGUGCGAGGCCCUGGGUUCGAUCCUUAGCACCA